rnacentral:rRNA from 1 species
CUACGGGGCGCAGCAGUGGGGAAUAUUGCACAAUGGAGGAAACUCUGAUGCAGCAACGCCGCGUGGAGGAUGACACAUUUCGGUGCGUAAACUCCUUUUAUAUGAGAAGAUAAUGACGGUAUCAUAUGAAUAAGCACCGGCUAACUCCGUGCCAGCAGCCGCGGUAAUACGGGGGGUGCAAGCGUUACUCGGAAUCACUGGGCGUAAAGCGAGCGCAGGCGGAUAGAAAAGUCAGAAGUGAAAUCCUAUAGCUUAACUAUAGAACUGCUUCUGAAACUCUUUAUCUAGAAUAUGGGAGAGGUAGAUGGAAUUUCUGGUGUAGGGGUAAAAUCCGUAGAGAUCAGAAGGAAUACCGAUUGCGAAGGCGAUCUACUGGAACAUUAUUGACGCUGAGGCUCGAAAGCGUGGGGAGCAAACAGGAUUAGAUACCCCCGUAGUC